CGGAGGGGCGCUCCCGAAGUCUCAGAACCCUGCGGGACAGUUGGAGGCUUGGGGGGGUCACACCUCAAGAAAAGUGUCCCCUGUUCUUCUCAUCUCUUACGCUGCCUGGAGCGCACCCUGGAUACCAAAGAGCUAAGCCAACAAAACCAGCCACCCAUGAAGAGAUUGGAAAGCUGAAAGGAAGGGAGGCGAGGAGAGACAGAGACCAAGACCAAGACAGAAACCAAGAAACAAGUCCCCAUGCUCACCAGAUGAACGGCUUUGCAGGAGCCCAGGCGGUCGUUGAGGCCCAUCCAGCGCUGGUACUCUGGGUACUCGCCCUGGGGUAAGAUGUACACGUGCCCAGCGAAGUUGGGCCUCUCAUACACAGCCCAGGUACCUCCUUCCACUCGGAUGGAGUUGCAGCGACUUAGGUAUGCGUGGAAAUCCACGCAGUCGCAGUCACAGUCAUAGCGGCGGCCUUGAAAAUUUUUGUCUUCGUAGAAAGUAAUCUGAAGUACAGGCAAAGAAACAGAAGCACCACGUUGGGCAGGUUUAUUUAUAGAUAAAAUAAAAAUUACAAAAACAAAUGCAUUGCCUGCUGUAGAAAUCCCUUUUUCAACUUUGAGGAGAGAAUAGUUUUUACCCGACCUCACUUGUGGUUUCUGGUACACAACUUUCGUUUCAACAACAGAUACCAGUACUUUCCGAAAGCUUAAAGCGAAACGGAAGAGGACAAGUACACCGGAUGCUUUCCAUGAUUCUUGUUGCAAACUGAGUUGGGUGAGAACCAAAUCAAGCCCAACACAGGUUUGGUUGUGGAUAUGGUUGUCUCUUCCUUUCUUUAGGGUCCUACUAGACCUCUUCCAAGGGCAAGGACCAAGUCUUAUUUAAGGUGUGGACACCCUGUGCCCAGCUCUCAACAGAUCCUCAAAACGUAUUCGAUGAAGAUGAGUAAUUUUCACAUGCAAGAAUUUAUGCCAGAUGACAUGGAAGACGUACAGAGAAAAAGAACACAGACCUGUUUCUGAGAGCUUUUUUUUUAGGAUGAUACGGAGCACCCAUACAUGAAAAUACACCAUGUUAUAUUCUACAAUAGUUUUCUCCUAACAGGAUACCUGUGAAAUAGUGCAGCGUGCAGCCCAGAAUUACAGACCCUGGCUCUACAGCAACCUCACUAUCCAACCUCUACCUCAGUCCCAUCACCUCUCUAGGUUUCAGCUUCCUGUCAAAUGAUUUGAGGACUGGAGCCCUGGCUAUGAAACAAAACUAGAGAUUUCCCAAAUAGAGAAGAGUUCCAAGGAACUUUUAAGAAUGAAUGAAGGAGUUUCUGAAAGCUAUUGUGAAAACCAUAAACGGGCUACUUUUUCCUUCAUGCUCAAUAAUUCCAUGGUCUAUGAUCCAGGCGAGGUUAGAAUUGAAAUAGAAACUACAGGGCAUGCUUCCUGCAAGCCAUUUGCUGGCAGUAUGCCGCCCCCUCCUGGUUGAUUUGCUGUGUUGACCUAAAAGAAAACCAGUCCUUGAAGCGGACUCUAGAGGUUUUUAGGUUCCAAGCAAGGUAACAGCAUCUACAGCAGAGAGAAUAAAGAGUUUAGUAUUUGAUUCAUCAUUGCCAAUAACCUUUUGCUACAGUUGUUACAGACGAAGUGACUGCCUAUUGUCACCAGCAUUUAGGAGUCAGUGAAAGGCAGUACAAAUCUCCUGUGCGUUGAUCUGGCUGAUUUUAUUUUCCUUUAGUGUCUUCCUAUCUGCACUGAGCAGGACUAGUGUGAGCCUGGGAGGUUCUUCCUAGGACUGUAGAGAUAUCUUAGAAAAGUCAGGAGUAACUUCUCUACGAAAGGAUAGGUUUUAAAUGCCUAAUUCAAGUUGCAUUUGGUUUUCAACCAACAUUCACCAAAAACGAUGUGCAAGGCAUGUGCCAUGGGAAAUGAAGUUCCCAGCCACUCCAUUCCACUGUGGCUCAUACCUGCUGCCCUCGUACACAAGCCUGACACCAGGUCUGAGUAGACAUGUUCGUGUUCUCCAAGGCCACUGUGCCACUCUCCCUCCCAGCAGAUUAGCCAAAUGUCCUAAGGUUAAAACAAAGCACCUGUGUGGUGCUGCCACAUAACCAUCGCUGGGCUUAGCACUAAAUUCCUCUUCCAGUGAAUUCUGCCAAGUUGGGAAUAUUCAACUCUGCCUUUUGAAAAAUAGCCUACCAAUCCAAUCCAACCCAACAGAAAGAAAAAUGUCUUGAAUAUCCUAGAACAUACAAAAUAUGCUUUAAAAAACCCAUUCGUUUCACCAGGCCCAUAAUUCUUGAUUAAAAUGCUAACAAGACAAGGGAAAGACUAAGAAAUACUUUAUCAUUUCCUCUGGCUCAGCAAGCAAGUCACUUAACAACUGUGCUAUGACAAAUGGAAGAUCACACUAUUUACUGCUCUGGAAAUCUCUGAAAGCAGACAUUUUCUUGUGUGUAACAUGAUUACAUAACAAUCUUCCUCAAUUUGUGGAAAUCCAAGGAGUUUAAUUUUUUUUUUGGUACUGGGGAUCAAACUCAUGACCUUGUACUUGCCAGGCAAGCACUUGAGCCACUGAGUUAAAUCCUCAGCCCUAAAUUCUUUUUUAGUGGAAUCUGCUUUGUGUCUAGAACCCCACAGUACUAAAGAUAUGGUGUUACUUUUCCCCCAAGUUUGUUGAUAAUAAACAAGAUUAUUAGUUGAUUGCUAGAUGGAAAGAAAUUACGCACUAACCAAUUACUAUAAUUAUAAUAAUUAACAGCCCCCUCUUGAUAUGAUGCACCUUUUGAAAGGUACACAGUCCUGCCUGUGUAGUUUUCUUGUCAAACUUGCUUAAUUGGAAUCUAAACAUGAGGAAACAAACAGGCAGAUGUAGAUGCAUACCUUCCUACAACGCACCUACUUGUCCUGGAGUUUGCAAGAUGCCUUUGUCUCAAAGAACAAAAAGAAAAGCAGAGGAACUAUUCUAAAUUAAAGUGGUUAAAAGAAAAAAAAUCCAAACAGGUUAGGGACAUAACCACCAAAUACAGUAUGUGAUACGUGAUUGCACCCUACAUUAUGUGUAUUUCUGGGAACAGUAAGAAACUGAAUGGAUCCUGAGUAUCAAGUGGAUUUAUGCCUGAUAUCAGGAGUAUGACUGAUAAUGAAUCCCAGGAGCAUGACAAAACUGAUGUUUAUACAGGAGGAUGCCUGAUCUUAGAGAGCACGAACAUUUCUACUGAGACACUCUCUGUAUAAACAUCAGCUUCAUACAGUUUUUGUUUUUCAGAGAUACAAACCCAAGUACAUAAUGCAACAGUAUAGUGGAGUCCACUAUUUGUUUCAAAUGGUUUAAUACAAAGAUACAGAAAAAGAGCCAAAAUACGGCAAAAUGUUAACUGAACAACAGAAAUACAGGACACACAAGUAUUCACUGGACAUCUCCUAUUCUUCCAGGAUUUCAAACUUUUCAAAGCAAAAAGUUGAGAUGGAGAGAUGAUGGUUGUGUCUUACACUCCCUGGAUCCUGGGAGAAACGAAAGGAAAACGAGCCCUGCCUAAGCUCUGCCUAAGCCAUCCGUAUGCAGCCCCGCAAUCCAGCCCAAUAUUGUAGAGGUAAUUUUCUUCACACUGAGUACAGUUAAGAUAAACUGUUUGGAUGAAGAAGCUAGUUUAGUUCAUCUGACCAGCCUGGCUGCUUUGGCCUUUUGGAACAUUAACAAUGGAGGCUGAAUUUCACAAACAGUUUAACUGACUACUAAAUGUUUUAUCACCCACGUCACCCUCCACAGCAUGUUCUGUUUCUAUGCAGAUACAUAGCCUAUCGGCUCCUGGAAGGCAAAAUCAUGAUGGUAUUUACGUAUUAUUUACCUGUCCGUAUUCCGCACAGCACAUAGUUUGGCAAUUCUGUUAGAGUAAAAACAUAAGCUUUUUCUGUUCUUCUUGCCCAGUCCUACUCCUCUAACCACCCCACUUUCAUACUCACCUCUUGGCAAAGACACAAAAGUUUUUCUCCAUGUUCUUUCAAUGCAUCAUUAGGCAGAAGAGGAAGCUAUGAAUCAGUAUGGCCAUUUACUUACCUUCGUUGCUGUUUUAGACAUCUUUAGGGCAUAGGUGACCUCCCCAGUGCUGAAAGAAAUACAGGAAUAGCUAUGGAGAGUGAGGGGCAGAGACAUUUAUACUGGGCUGGGUUCAAAUCAAACAUCUGCUUAGUCAUGAGAUUAGGAUCCAAAAAUUGAGUCAGUCAUUUGGAGGCUAUUGAUGGUUUCUAGAAAAACAAUUGGGAUUAUGAAAUAAAAGAAAGCCUCACUACCCCUUUUAAUGCUUACCAAGCCCUGCUGCAUUCUAGAUCUUGCUGAGUCAAGAUACCAAAAUCCAGCCAAAGUUUUAAAAAUAAAAACAAAAAAAUCUCUCUUCCCUGGGCAAUUUUUCCCCCACUAGCAAAAA